UCUGAAGAAAGAUUACUUCGUUAUUGGGUUCAUAUAAACCGUGAUUAUAUAUAUUUUUUUGUGAUAUUAAGUGAAAAAUUGCAAUUAUAAGAAACCUAAAGAACUGCUACGCGUACCAAUAUGGAUACUAUAGCAAAAAGCGAUUUAUCAGUUUGUGAUUUUGAGAGUGUUCUCGCUGACAUCAAGCGUAUAACUGAUAAAGAGGAUAAUGCCUGCUUCACGCCACGCCUCUUUACCGCAACCGACCAGAACUUGACAAAAGUCAAAGACAAUACCCCUAUUUAACACAAUUAGAAAAGUACAAUUAUUAUUAUCACUUAUAAUAACGUACAUUUCUUCGUUUUCAAUUUUGUCUUUAAUUUAUCAAUAAAUUCCAAAUGCCGAUAUUUAGUAUAUAGUUCAAGUAAAUUUAAAAAAAA